GACUACAGGGGUAUCUAAUCCUGUUUGAUCCCCACGCUUUCGUGCUUCAGCGUCAGUUACAACUUAGUAAGCUGCCUUCGCAAUCGGUGUUCUGUGGUAUAUCUAUGCAUUUCACCGCUACACACCACAUUCCGCCUACCUCAACUGUACUCAAGAAAACCAGUAUCAAUGGCAAUUUUACGGUUGAGCCGCAAACUUUCACCACUGACUUAAUCUCCCGCCUACGCACCCUUUAAACCCAAUAAAUCCGGAUAACGCUCGGAUCCUCCGUAUUACCGCGGCUGCUGGCACGGAGUUAGCCGAUCCUUAUUCGUAUGGUACCGGCAAAACAGUACGCGUACCGUCGUUUCUUCCCAUACAAAAGCAGUUUACAACCCAUAGGGCAGUCGUCCUGCACGCGACAUGGCUGGUUCAGGCUUGCGCCCAUUGACCAAUAUUCCUCACUGCAGCCCCCCGUAGG
rnacentral:rRNA from 1 species